AUUGCAAUGAUGAGUUUAAGCAUCUUUGUAUGUUAUUAGGGCAGUGGACAAGGUUUGAUUAAUUCAGUCUUGCCGUGAUCCCAAUUUUAACGACUUCUCCUUCCGCUGAGCUAA